CUUCGACUGCCAUACCACCAACAUCCGCUUCUGAUAUUAUGCACUGAUGUUGGCUGACCUGCACCAUGUACCAAGCGGUUAAGAAGCUGAUACAUCUCAGAAUGACAACAGUAAACAGCAUUCAGUCCAAAAGAAGUGCCUCAAGAUCAGCACUGAAGAAAAGCAGGAUAUUACAGAGAGGAAGUUACGAACUUUAAAAGCUGUGCAGAUAUGAAGAAAAGCUCAACUCGCAUUUCAGAGGGCAUGCCUGAUUUUAGUUUGUGAUUUUUUCCAUAAAUGCUAAUACAGAUGACUUCAGGUACAACUGUAUCCAAACUGUGAGAUUCAGUGUUCAAGUGUGCCUAUAUAACUAAUUGAUUUAAGCAAGUCUUCUAAAACAAUGUUUACCUUCUUUUCUUGCAGCCAAGCUCCUGCUUGUUUUCAGUGCCCUUUGCCCCUCCCUCACAACAGAGCUGGCUUUUCCCAAUGCUGCCGCUUCCAACAGCCACCUCCUUUCUAGCCUUAUUCAAGGACGUAUCUUAUCAGGCUGAUUAAUGCCUAACUAUGUAUCAACCUACUCACAAGAUACAAAUGCCACAGUAGAAGUCUCCCCACUGUUUCUUAAAAUGUGUUACAGUAAAUGCCAGUUUCAUCCAGCUUAGCAGGAUCCCCCUGAAAAAGUGUGAUACAAAGGAGGCAAAGGAGCCUUUUACUUUUUAAUUGCCACUGUCAGCUAACUAGAAAAUACUCUCAGGUGACACCAGGAACUUACAAGUUUAAGUCAGCGAUGACCCUCUGAGACUGAUACUUGUUCUGUCUCCAACUUCUGACCCUUUACAGCUACGGAUACCUCUGACCAAUUCAAAAUACACUCUUUUUACAGUUAUCUAUAGAAACCCCAGACUCUUUGCUACGCAUGGGCAAGUUUUUAUUCAUUUAUGCAUAACAGUAAAGUCAC